ACAGAACUCAUUUUGCAGGACUCCACCCGAGCAGCUCAUUUCCUCACAAUCUUCAAGAAACAUCUGGAGUCGGAACCCUUCUUUCAUUGGCACUUUUGUUCGACGGAAGACACAGCUCCCUCACAAUCUUCAAGAAAUAUUCCUAGACGCAUCUCUUCUUCAACUUUGGCAGGAUAUGGGUUCAUCUGGUUCCACAAAGGGUUCAUCUGGUUCCACAAUGGGUUCAACUGGUUCCACAAUGGGUUCAUCUUUUGGCCCAUUCAGUUCAAUUUGGGCAAGAUAUACACAAGCUGUGGAGGAGAAAGAACGAUACAAGAAGCAAUUGAAUGCUUUUAAGAUGAGAGAAGAAGAAAAGAAGGAACUAGACAAGAAGAACAGAUCUAAAGAGGAAGAAGAAAGGAAAAGAAUUCACAUAAAAGAGAAAAACAAUGAAAAAGACAUUAAACAACACAAUGUGUGAUGUACAACACUAGUGCCUUUUAAAAUAGUUCACAGAGAUUCAUCACGUGGGGUUACUAGCCGUAAUUGUGCAGUAUUUUGUAGCAUUCCUUCUUGCUGUUGAAAGUGAUGGCAUAAAUCGUUAUGUUUAUCUUCUGUAUGUUUCUAUAACUCCGGAUUACAGAUUAAAAUGAACCAUCCUUACAGAUCUUCAUCUUUUAUAAUGUGUUAUUGAGCUGUAUUGCUGUCACAUAAGAGCAUACUUAUGUUAUUUCCCUUUUGCACUGCCUAACAACAUGCAAUAAUGAAUAAAUCACUCAUUUAUCU